GUGUGGAUGGUGUUCAACACCAGGGACAGGGAUGUUUCCUUUGUUUGGAUAGUGUUCAGCACCAGGGACAGACAUGUUUACUU
rfam:Branchiostoma floridae genomic scaffold BRAFLscaffold_150, whole genome shotgun sequence.